GCCCGACUCGAGUCCGCCAUAUUGGAUGCCGCAGCCGCUGCUGCCAGCGCUUCCUCCUCUGUCUUCGCCGAGCGGGGCUGGUUCCUGCGGCCCGAGCGGCGGGGAGGUGAAACAGGAGCCCGUCGGAGGAAGGGGAAGAAGGGGGUGGAGAGUGUAGGGGACGGGGCUAGAGGGAGGGGGACCGAAACGGAGCGGGGCGGAGAAGAGAAGGCGCCGCGGUCCGGCCCCUCCCCCGCCCGCCGCCGACCCGCCCCGGCAGCGCCUCUGUUCCCUAGAACGGCGCUCCCCCCGCCCUAGCGGCCAUGCCGGGGCCGCGCUGCCGCUGAGGGAGCCCUUCCCCGCCAGCGCGUGCCCUUCCACUCCGUCCCGAGGUCGCAGCGGCCUGCUCUCCCGCCAGCGCCCCCUCCUCGCGGCCACGCAGCAGCCCGCGUCUCGCUCUCCCCACCCAGUGCAGUGGCCGCCGCCUCUUCCGCCGCCGGGCUCGGGGCCUCCGCAGCGACAACAUGGAGGCCGUGAAGACCUUCAAUAGCGAGGAUUGUGCCUCUACUCCUGCUUGUACAGACUGCUUUUCCAGCAGCAUGGACACAAGAAGCAUAUUGUAUUCCCUGAAUGACUAUAAACCACCCAUUUCGAAAGCGAAAAUGACCCAAAUUACUAAGGCAGCCAUCAAAGCUAUUAAGUUCUAUAAACAUGUGGUACAGAGUGUUGAGAAGUUUAUUCAGAAAUGUAAACCAGAAUACAAAGUACCUGGACUUUAUGUUAUUGACUCCAUUGUGCGACAAUCCCGACAUCAGUUUGGUCAAGAAAAGGAUGUGUUUGCACCCAGAUUUAGUAAUAACAUCAUUAGCACUUUCCAGAAUUUAUAUCGUUGCCCUGGGGAUGACAAGAGUAAAAUAGUGAGAGUACUAAACUUAUGGCAGAAGAAUAAUGUAUUUAAGAGUGAGAUUAUUCAGCCUCUUUUGGAUAUGGCAGCUGGGAUUCCGCCUCCAGUUGUCACACCUGUUUUGGCCAGCACUACCACUGCUAUGAGCAAUACUCCAGGAACUCCUGUGACACCUGUGACUCCAGCCAAUGUGGUCCAAGGCUUACCUGAUCCGUGGGUGUCUCAGAUAACAAAUACAGAUACACUUGCGGCUGUAGCUCAGAUCUUGCAAAGUCCUCAAGGCCAGCAGCUUCAACAAUUAAUACAAACCUUACAGAUACAACAACAGAAGCCCCAGCCUUCCAUUCUGCAGGCCCUAGAUGCUGGUCUUGUUGUUCAGUUGCAAGCUCUUACGGCACAACUUACAGCUGCAGCUGCAGCUGCCAACACUCUUACUCCCUUAGAACAGGGAGUCUCCUUUAACAAGAAGUUGAUGGAUAGGUUUGAUUUUGGGGAAGAUUCUGAGCAUAGUGAAGAACCCAAAAAGGAAAUUCCAGCUUCACAACUUUCUCACGUUUCAGAAUCUGUGAACAAUUCCAUUUUUCAUCAGAUAGCAGAACAACUACAACAGCAAAACCUAGAACAUCUCAGACAGCAGCUCUUGGAGCAGCAACAGCCUCAAAAGGCCACGCCUCAGGAUAGUCAGGAAGGAACAUUUGGGUCAGAGCAUUCAGCGUCACCAUCACAAGGGAGUAGUCAGCAGCAUUUUCUUGAACCUGAAGUCAAUUUGGAUGAUUCCAUAGAUAUUCAGCAACAGGAUAUGGAUAUAGAUGAAGGGCAAGAUGGAGUGGAAGAGGAGGUCUUUGAACAAGAAGCUAAGAAAGUGGCGGUUCGCUCAAGAUCAAGAACACAUUCACGAUCUCGUUCAAGAUCACCAAGAAAACGAAGGUCUAGGUCACGGUCUGGCUCUAGAAAGCGUAAACACAGAAAGCGAUCACGCUCCCGCUCAAGAGAAAGAAAGAGGAAAUCAUCACGGUCGUAUUCAAGUGAAAGGAGAGCCAGAGAAAGGGAGAAAGAACGACAGAAAAAGGGAUUACCUCCAAUUAGAUCUAAAACACUAAGUGUAUGUAGUACAACUCUCUGGGUUGGGCAAGUGGACAAGAAGGCAACACAGCAAGACUUAACCAACCUGUUUGAAGAGUUUGGACAGAUUGAAUCCAUUAAUAUGAUUCCUCCCCGGGGCUGUGCUUAUGUCUGCAUGGUUCAUCGACAAGAUGCAUUUCGAGCUCUUCAGAAACUCAGUUCUGGAUCAUAUAAAAUUGGGUCCAAGGUCAUUAAGAUUGCUUGGGCUUUAAACAAAGGUGUAAAAACAGAAUACAAACAAUUCUGGGAUGUGGAUCUUGGAGUUACGUAUAUACCAUGGGAAAAAGUUAAAGUGGAUGACUUGGAAGGUUUUGCAGAAGGAGGCAUGAUUGAUCAGGAGACUGUAAAUACUGAGUGGGAAACUGUGAAAAGCUCAGAACCUGUUAAAGAGACGGUCCAGACAACUCAGAGCCCAACUCCAGUUGAAAAGGAGACAGUAGUCACAACCCAGGCAGAGGUUUUCCCUCCUCCUGUUGCUAUGUUGCAGAUUCCAGUGGCGCCAGCCGUGCCUACAGUUAGUUUAGUCCCACCAGCAUUUCCUGUGUCGAUGCCGGUUCCUCCUCCUGGAUUCAGUCCAAUCCCUCCACCUCCUUUUUUAAGAGCAAGUUUUAACCCUUCACAACCACCACCUGGUUUCAUGCCGCCUCCAGUUCCCCCACCUGUUGUACCACCCCCUACGAUUCCACCAGUAGUACCAACAUCUUUAGUGCAGCCGUCAUUAUCCAUGACACCGGAAACUGUGAAAGAUGUUGGAUUUGGUAGCCUUGUUAUACCAGGCGGUUCUGUUGCCAGCAAUCUUGCUACUUCCGCUCUGCCAGCUGGAAAUGUUUUUAAUGCUCCAACUAAACAGGCAGAGCCUGAAGAAAAAGUACCUCAUCUUAUAGACCACCAGAUUUCUUCUGGUGAAAACACCAGAUCAGUGAUUCCAAAUGAUAUUUCAAGUAAUGCUGCAAUUUUAGGAGGACAGCCGCCAAAUGUGACAAGCAAUUCUGGAAUUCUGGGAGUCCAAAGACCAAAUGUAUCAAGUAAUUCUGAAAUUCUUGGGGUCCGGCCAUCUAAUGUUUCCAGUAGUUCUGGGAUUAUUGCAGCCCAACCACCAAAUAUUCUAAAUAACUCUGGAAUAUUGGGAAUACAGCCACCCAGUGUGUCAAAUAGUUCUGGACUUUUGGGAGUGCUACCCCCAAAUAUACCUAACAAUUCUGGACUUGUAGGAGUACAGCCACCAAAUGUUCCAAAUACUUCUGGACUUCUGGGAACACAGCCACCAGCUGGACCUCAAAACUUACCCCCCUUGAGUAUCCCUAAUCAAAGGAUGCCCACAAUACCAAUGUUAGACAUUCGUCCAGGACUAAUACCACAGGCACCUGGGCCAAGAUUCCCUUUAAUACAGCCUGGAAUUCCACCCCAACGGGGAAUCCCACCCCCAUCGGUACUUGAUUCAGCUCUUCAUCCACCACCCCGUGGACCUUUUCCUCCAGGAGAUAUUUUUAGUCAACCAGAAAGACCUUUUUUACCUCCUGGAAGACAAAGCGUAGACAAUGUUACUAACCCAGAAAAAAGGAUACCACUUGGGAAUGAUAACAUUCAACAGGAAGGAGAUAGAGAUUACCGGUUUCCUCCUAUAGAAACCAGGGAAAGCAUUAGUAGACCUCCCCCUGUGGAUGUUAGAGAUGUGGUUGGGCGGCCUAUAGAUCCAAGAGAAGGUCCUGGACGGCCUCCACUAGAUGGUAGGGAUCAUUUUGGAAGACCUCCUGUAGAUAUAAGAGAGAAUCUUGUGAGGCCAGGUAUAGAUCAUCUUGGUCGAAGAGACCACUUUGGCUUUAAUCCAGAGAAGCCCUGGGGGCAUAGAGGAGAUUUUGAUGAGAGAGAGCAUCGGGUUCUACCAGUCUAUAGUGGUCCAAAAGGCUUACAUGAAGAAAGAGGUAGAUUUCGGUCUGGAAACUAUCGAUUUGAUCCUAGAAGUGGUCCUUGGAACCGAGGAUUUGGACAAGAAGUUCACAGAGAUUUUGAUGACCGCAGAAGACCCUGGGAGAGGCAAAGGGAUAGGGAUGACAGAGAUUUUGAUUUCUGCAGAGAAAUGAAUGGAAAUCGUCUUGGACGAGACAGAAUUCAAAACACUUGGGUUCCCCCUCCUCAUGCUCGAGUUUUUGAUUAUUUUGAAGGGGCCACUUCUCAACGAAAAGGUGAUAAUGUGCCUCAGGUUAAUGGUGAAAAUACAGAGAGACAUGCUCAGCCACCACCUAUACCAGUACAGAAUGAUCCUGAACUUUAUGAAAAACUGACAUCUUCAAAUGACAUAAACAAGGAGAAGAGUGACACAGUUGCUGAUGUAGAAAGUGAACCAGUGGUAGAAAGCACAGAAACUGAGGGGACAUAAUCAUCACUCAGUAGGUUAAUGAUGAAAUGGCAGGUAAUUCACACUUUUGGACAGAGCACACCGCCCCCGUGGAAUCACCCUACAGAAGAGGCCAGCUAUAAAGGAUGUCUCACACCUUUAAGAUCAGUGUUUCUCAAUGUGUGGACCAUGGAUACCUGUAUUAGAAUACCCAAAGGAUUUGUUUAAAAUUCAGGCUGAGCCCUUCCCAAGACCUAAUAGAGCUAAAAGCUUUGGGAGUAGGUGGAGGAAGCCUGCAUCUUUACCCAGCAAUCCAGGACAGAAUGACUUGGAAGAUAAUGGAGCUUCGAAGCUUCUAGCAGAAUAUGAAGUCUUUCAUCUUCAGCUACCUGGGUUAAGUUUAAGCAGAUGGCAGCAUGGGGACACUGAGGAUGAUUGGAGAUGUUGGACACUCAGGAGCAGAAUGACUCUGAAACAGUCAAGAGGCAGCAAGCCUGGAGCUUCUUCCAAAUCUUCUUGAAUUCUCCUUUGAAACUCACCAGCAAAUGCUGACCUGGGAAUUUGAAAACAGCACACUAAAAUGGAGAUAUCAACUCACUUCCUGAACUUUAAACUUUGUGGCUCUGUGGCUGGAGUGCAGCCAUCCAGUUCUUCAAGGUGCUUCCACGGGACCAUAUUGUUACUGGGGUGAAUAACCUUUGAGACCCCUUAACAGAAACACACUCUUGUUUGUGAAAUGAAUGGUUGCAGAUUGCAAGUGAAUUUCUUGGUAUACUUUAGGAGGGGAUUGUCCAAGAAAUUGAGUUGUUUAAUUUUUUUUUUCUUUUUUUUUUUGAGACAGAGUUUCACUCUUUUCACCCAGGCUGGAGUGCAAUGGCACCACCUCGGCUCACUGCAACCUCUGCCUCCCAGGUUGAAGUGAUUCUCCUGCCUCAGCCUCCUGAGUAGCUGGGAUUACAGGUGUUAGCCACCACUCCUGGCCAAGUUUUGUAUUUUUAGUAGAGACGGGGCUUCACCAUGUUUGUCAGGCUGGUCUUGAACUCCUGACCUCAGGUGAUCCACCUGCCUUGGCCUCCCAAAGUGCUGGGAUUAUAGGCAUGAGCCACUGUGCCUGGCCUGAGUUGUUUAAUAUUUAAACUACAUGUUUUUCUUGUGGUAAACUUGGCAGACUUGGUGAAUGUUAUAAUUGUGUUCAGAGUCCAAAAGUCAUUCCAUAGCAUAUAUUUCAAGUAUAAUGAUGGCUCAAUGUCCUGAACCAAGAUUAUCUUGGUGGCUGAGGCUAAUACCUGAUACUGUGGGUGGCAGGUCACUCUCUGUGCAGGUUCCCAUCGGGUCGGGUGAUGCUUUUCAGAUUAACGGUUAAGUGCAGCUAUCUCAGCAAGGGUUCAUUAUUGAAGUUUCUCUUUGUUUCUUUAUGCUUUUUAAAAUAACUUAUCUGCAUCUCUUACAUUGAUUGCAAAGGGCCAAGUUUGAGAUAGUGACAGACUUGAGAGAAGACCAAAGCUAUCCACAGAAAGCUUUGCUAGCUAAAUAUUUCUUUGAGAUUGUCGAUCCUGUUAUUCUUACAAGAGGCCCACAGAAAAAGGAAGAAAGAAGGAAAGAAAAUAAAGAAAGAAAGGAGGGAGGGCAGGGUAGAAGGAGAGAGGGAGGAAGAAAGAAAGAAGGCCGGGCGCGGUAGCUCACGCCUGUAAUCCCAGCAGUUUGGGAGGCCGAGGCGGGUGGAUCACAAGGUCAGGAGUUCGAGACCAGCCUGGCCAACAUGGUGAAACCCCGUCUCUACUAAAAAUACAAAACUUAGCCAGGCGUGGUGGCUCACGCCUGUAAUUCCAGUUACUUGAAAGGCCGAGGCAGGAGAAUCG